rnacentral:rRNA from 1 species
UACGAAGGGGGCUAGCGUUGCUCGGAAUCACUUGGCGUAAAGCGCACGUAGGCGGCUUCUUAAGUCAGGGGUGAAAUCCUGGAGCUCAACUCCAGAACUGCCUUUGAUACUGAGGAGCUCGAGUCCGGAAGAGGUGAGUGGAACUGCGAGUGUAGAGGUGAAAUUCGUAGAUAUUCGCAAGAACACCAGUGGCGAAGGCGGCUCACUGGUCCGGUACUGACGCUGAGGUGCGAAAGCGUGGGGAGCAAACAGG